GACGAACGCUGGCGGCGUGCUUAACACAUGCAAGUCGAACGGAAAGGUCCUGCUUUUGUGGGGUGCUCGAGUGGCGAACGGGUGAGUAACACGUGAGUAACCUGCCCUUGACUUUGGGAUAACUUCAGGAAACUGGGGCUAAUACCGGAUAGGAGCUACUGCCGCAUGGUGGGGGUUGGAAAGUUUCGGUGGUUGGGGGUGGACUAGCGGCCUAACAGCUCGAUGGUGGGGUAGUGGGUUACCAAGGCUUGGACCGGUAGCCGGGCUGAGAGGGGCACCGGCCACAUCGGGACUGAAAUGAGACCCAGACUCCUACGGGAGGCAGCGGAGGGGAAUAUAGCACAAGGGGCGGAGGCCUAAUGCAGCAACGCCGCGUGCGGGAUGACGGGCUGCGGGUUGUAAACCACUUUCGCCUGUGACGAGGCGUGAGUGACGGUAAUGGGUAAAGAAGCACCGGCUAACUACGUG
rnacentral:rRNA from 1 species